CUGGACAGAGGUAGCCAUUGGUCAAGAGGGGUCGCGGGAUGACCAAUGGGAAGGCGUGAAGGGAUGAGGUGGUCAGGAUCUGCGCGAGCGGAACUGAGUUAGCAUCUGCACAUCGGAUUCCAGGCUGUCGCGGGUUGCUCACUGAUGGACGUGCUUCCGGCAGUUUGCUCGCGUCAUUUUAGUGUUUUCUUGACUGUGUGUUUGUGUUUCGUGUUGCAUUAUUGUUGUGUUCGUUAACAGUGACGUGUGGUGAAGACUGGCGGUGUGGUGGUGAACGUGGUGGUGAGACGCGGAGAAAGUGUGUGACAGAUAGUGUGUGUGACAGUUCCUCUACGCCUAUUCCUGCCACCACCACCACCACCACCACCACCACCACCACAAUCCGCCGCUCUACUCGAAAAAGAUUAGAGAGGCGAGUGGAGGGAGCUUCCGGGAUGGAGCAUGAGGAAGCAUCAGAGAGCAUCAUUGACUGUCGAGGAAUGAAUGUACACGCGGUCAGUUGGUGUCAGCAGGUGUCAGGAAGUAUCAGCAAACGUCAGCGAGAACCAGAACCAGGGGCAAAUGCAAGUGUCAGAAAAUGCUCCAGGUUUUCCACGCUCAAAGGGAAGGAAAAAAAGGGGAAAAUAU